AUUGAACGCUGGCGGCAGGCUUAACACAUGCAAGUCGAGCGGGGUGAUGGUGCUUGCACUAUCACUUAGCGGCGGACGGGUGAGUAAUGCUUAGGAAUCUGCCUAUUAGUGGGGGACAACAUCCCGAAAGGGAUGCUAAUACCGCAUACGUCCUACGGGAGAAAGCAGGGGAUCACUUGUGACCUUGCGCUAAUAGAUGAGCCUAAGUCGGAUUAGCUAGUUGGUGGGGUAAAGGCCUACCAAGGCGACGAUCUGUAGCGGGUCUGAGAGGAUGAUCCGCCACACUGGGACUGAGACACGGCCCAGACUCCUGCGGGAGGCAGCAGUGGGGAAUAUUGGACAAUGGGGGGAACCCUGAUCCAGCCAUGCCGCGUGUGUGAAGAAGGCCUUAUGGUUGUAAAGCACUUUAAGCGAGGAGGAGGCUCUUUUGGUUAAUACCCAAGAUGAGUGGACGUUACUCGCAGAGUAAGCACCGGCUAACUCUGUGCCAGCCGCCGCCGUAA
rnacentral:rRNA from 1 species